rnacentral:rRNA from 1 species
GUAAGGAAUAUUGGUCAAUGGACGAAAGUCUGAACCAGCCAUGCUGCGUGAAGGAUGAAGGCCCUCUGGGUUGUAAACUUCUUUUAUCUGGGACGAAAAAAGGGUAUUCUUACUCACUUGACGGUACCAGAGGAAUAAGCACCGGCUAACUCCGUGCCAGCAGCCGCGGUAAUACGGAGGGUGCAAGCGUUAUCCGGAUUCACUGGGUUUAAAGGGUGCGUAGGUGGGUAUUUAAGUCAGUGGUGAAAUCUCCGAGCUUAACUCGGAAACUGCCAUUGAUACUAUUUACCUUGAAUGCCCUGGAGGUAAGCGGAAUAUGUCAUGUAGCGGUGAAAUGCUUAGAUAUGACAUAGAACACCAAUUGCGAAGGCAGCUUACUACGGGGUGAUUGACACUGAGGCACGAAAGCGUGGGGAGCAAACAGGAUUAGAAACCCCAGUAGUCC